rnacentral:rRNA from 1 species
UACGGGGGGAGCAAGCGUUGUUCGGAUUUACUGGGCGUAAAGGGCGCGUAGGCGGUCAGCACAAGUCAGUUGUGAAAUCUCCGGGCUUAACUCGGAACGGUCAACUGAUACUGUGCGACUAGAGUGCAGAAGGGGCAACUGGAAUUCUCGGUGUAGCGGUGAAAUGCGUAGAUAUCGAGAGGAACACCUGCGGCGAAGGCGGGUUGCUGGGCUGAUACUGACGCUGAGGCGCGACAGCGUGGGGAGCAAACGG